UGGGCCAGCCCCUCCCUGAUAAGCAGCACCUGGAGCUCCUUAUCAAAGCCCUCCCCACGCAGGAGGGGCCAGACCCAGCAGCUCCCCCUGGCCGAUAAGGCAGCAAUACCCAGCUCUCCUCUAUCAGCUGAGCACCACCCGGCUCGGGGGAGUUUAUCCUUCCCACCACCAGCACCUGGUAUCUGCCAAAGCCAUGGAGCAGCAAAUUCUGAAUUAUUUCCUUUUAAUUGGUGUGUUCAGCAUCAGCUAAUUUCUGGUUUUCUUCCCUAGCAUAGAACUCCCAGAGGAGCUCACUGCCAGCUGGAAUUUUAUGUCCUCACAGCUUUUUUUUUUAUUGACAAAUUUGGGUGCCAGGUCCUCAUAGGAAAGACAGGUUCCAUGUGGGAAUCCCCCAUCCCACAGGAUACAGAUCAGCCCCUUCCCAACACAUAGCAGCCCCAUACUUCCUUAGAAAUACCCAAAAUGCCCCAAAAUAUGAAUUUAACUCCGAGCCUGGACCUCUUUCCCAGCCCCAGCCUGAGAUCCAAAGCAGUGCCAGCCUCAGGAGAUCCCUGGAAAAGGCUCCAACCUGGGUUCUCCUGCAUCCUGGGAAUGGAGAACCACAGGGAAAUUAAUCUGCUUUGAAACCUGACGUGUCCCAGUUAUUUUUUUUUUAUCUUUAUAUUUGCAAACUCCAGAAAUAUAAUCAAACAAUUCUGUUUUGUCUUCGGGGUGACCUGACCCACUUUGGGAGCAGCAGCCCCUGCUUUGAAGCCUUCAUGAGGCUCUGCUGUUGGGAUUUGUGCUGGAAAAUCAUAGAAAAUGGGAAAUCCUGCUCUGCUACAAGCUCAGGGCUGGGAUUAAUGUUGUUUUUUUUUUCACUUAAAAAGUGGUGGAGCCAAUCAGAAUGAAAUAAUUUGGCUGUGUAGGCAGAGCAGGAUCAUUCCCAGCUUUAACCACAUUCCCUGAACUUUCUCCUUUUUGCCUGAGUCACCGAGGGCUCGGUUUCACAGCCGGGGUUUUUUGAAACGUCACCACAGCGGGAGGUGAUGCCAGCAAAGAAAUUGGGGAAAACUGAGCCCUGCAGAUUCUCCAGGGGGUUAUUCCAGCCCCAAACCAUCCCAAAACGGGAAAAGGCUCCAGUCUCCCUGAGCUGAGGUGUGGAGUCCCGGAAUUUGGCUGCUGGGUUCCUUUCAGCGCUCACAUAAUCUGACCUAAUUCCCCCUCCCGGGAGUGCCCGCCGUGUGUAAUUAAAGCUGCUUUGGGAUUAUUUCCUGCACCAAAGUUGAUUUGGUUUGGUGU